AUUGAACGCUGGCGGUAGGCCUAACACAUGCAAGUCGAACGCGAAAGUCCUUCAGGAUGAGUAGAGUGGCGGACGGGUGAGUAACGCGUAGGAAUCUAUCCUGUAGUGGGGGAUAACGUUUCGAAAGGAACGCUAAUACCGCAUACGCCCCACGGGGGAAAGCGGGGGAUCUUCGGACCUCGUGCUAUAGGAGGAGCCUGCGUCGGAUUAGCUAGUUGGUGAGGUAAAGGCUCACCAAGGCGACGAUCCGUAGCUGGUCUGAGAGGAUGAUCAGCCACACCGGAACUGAGACACGGUCCGGACUCCUACGGGAGGCAGCAGUGGGGAAUAUUGCGCAAGGGGCGAAAGCCUGACGCAGCCAUACCGCGUGUGUGAAGAAGGCCUUCGGGUUGUAAAGCACUUUCAGUGGGGAGGAAAAGCUGGUGGCUAAUAUCCAUCGGCCGUGACGCUACCCACAGAAGAAGCACCGGCUAAUUCCGUGCCAGCCGCCGCCGUAACAC
rnacentral:rRNA from 1 species